GGGGGUGACAGGUUUCGACGGACAGACGUUCUGACCGGAGAAGCGUGCCGAGAAGCUCAGGUGAUCUCGUUAAACAUCCUGGGAAACAAAUAACUGCCAAAAAGACGCAGUCUGCAGACGCUUACGCCCUCGCGGCCUAAGCCUUAAAUCUGCCGUCAGCCCAAUGCGUCCCCGAAUUGGGGUCUGACGUCGCUAGGGGACUUACCAAGCCCUCCGGUCGCGGGAGGGGGAGGAACACCACACAGUGACUGGACCGCCCGGGACAGUGCCGCACGAAGUCCCGGGGUCGAGAAGCGAUAGCGCGGCUACGCACGUAGAAGGACGCAAGGAACCUGCACGGACCCGGGUUCGAUUCCCGGCACCUCCACCA
rnacentral:tmRNA from 1 species